rnacentral:rRNA from 1 species
UACGUAGGGGGCAAGCGUUGUCCGGAUUUAUUGGGCGUAAAGAGCUCGUAGGCGGUUCCGUAAGUCGUGAAGUCAAAUCUCUGGGCUCAACCCAGAAUCGCUUCCGAUACUGCGGUGACUGGAGUCCGGUAGGGGAGUGUGGAAUUCCUGGUGUAGCGGUGAAAUGCGCAGAUAUCAGGAGGAACACCGGUGGCGAAGGCGGGUCUCUGGGCAACAACUGACGCUGAGGAGCGAAAGCGUGGGGAGCGAACAGG